rnacentral:misc_RNA from 1 species
GAAAUGCGAUAAGUAAUGUGAAUUGCAGAAUUCAGUGAAUCAUCGAAUCUUUGAACGCACAUUGCGCCCGCCAGUAUUCUGGCGGGCAUGCCUGUCCGAGCGUCAUUUCAACCAUCAAGCCCCCGGGCUUGUGUUGGGGACCUGCGGCUGCCCGCAGGCCCUGAAAACCAGUGGCGGGCUCGCUGUCACACCGAGCGUAGUAGCAAUCACCUCGCUCAGGGCGUGCUGCGGGUUCCGGCCGUUAAACAGCCUUACAAAACCCAAGGUUGACCUCGGAUCAGGUAGAAAGACCCGCUGAAGAUAAGC